ACGACGCUGGCGGCGUGCCUAAUACAUGCAAGUCGAACGGUCUUUUCUAUGGAAGCUUGCUUCCACUGAGAAGAUAGUGGCGAACGGGUGAGUAACACGUGGGUAACCUGCCCAUAAGAGGGGGAUAACAUCCGGAAACGGGUGCUAAUACCGCAUAGUUUUCUUGAUCGCAUGAUCGAGAAAGGAAAGACGGCCUUUGUGCUGUCGCUUAUGGAUGGACCCGCGGCGUAUUAGUUAGUUGGUGAGGUAACGGCUCACCAAGACGAUGAUACGUAGCCGACCUGAGAGGGGUGAUCGGCCACAUUGGGACUGAGACACGGCCCAAACUCCUACGGGAGGCAGCAGUAGGGAAUCUUCCGCAAUGGACGAAAGUCUGACGGAGCAACGCCGCGUGAGUGAAGAAGGUUUUCGGAUCGUAAAACUCUGUUGUCAGAGAAGAACAAGUUGGAGAGUAACUGCUCCAGCCUUGACGGUAUCUGACCAGAAAGCCACGGCUAACUACGUG
rnacentral:rRNA from 1 species